GGAAGAACGUAGUGAAAUGCGAUAAGUAAUGUGAAUUGCAGAAUUCAGUGAAUCAUCGAAUCUUUGAACGCACAUUGCGCCCGCCAGUAUUCUGGCGGGCAUGCCUGUCUGAGCGUCAUUUCAACCCUCAUGCCCCUAGGGCGUGGUGUUGGGGAUCGGCCAAAGCCCGCGAGGGACGGCCGGCCCCUAAAUCUAGUGGCGGACCCGUCGUGGCCUCCUCUGCGAAGUAGUGAUAUUCCGCAUCGGAGAGCGAUGAGCCCCUGCCGUUAAACCCCCAACUUUCCAAGGUUGACCUCAGAUCAGGUAGGAAUACCCGCUGAACUUAAGCAUAUCAAUAAGCGGAGGA
rnacentral:misc_RNA from 1 species